AACGAACGCUGGCGGCAUGCCUAACACAUGCAAGUCGAACGAGACCUUCGGGUCUAGUGGCGCACGGGUGCGUAACGCGUGGGAACCUGCCCUUAGGUUCGGAAUAACUCCCCGAAAGGGGUGCUAAUACCGGAUAAUGUCUUCGGACCAAAGAUUUAUCGCCUUUGGAUGGGCCCGCGUUGGAUUAGCUAGUUGGUAGGGUAAAAGCCUACCAAGGCGACGAUCCAUAGCUGGUCUGAGAGGAUGAUCAGCCACACUGGGACUGAGACACGGCCCAGACGAGAAGCGGAUGCAGCAGUGGGGAGUGUUGGAGGAUGGUCGUAAGGUUGUAACAGUAAUGCCGCGGGAAUGAGAAAGGCCUUAGGGGUGGAAAGCUCUCUGACACGCGAGGUGAAUGACGGGGCGGGGAGAAUAAGAAGAGCACACCGCGGUC
rnacentral:rRNA from 1 species